rnacentral:rRNA from 1 species
UUCCAGACUCCUACGGGAGGCAGCAGUGGGGAAUAUUGCACAAUGGGGGAAACCCUGAUGCAGCGACGCCGCGUGAGCGAUGAAGUAUUUCGGUAUGUAAAGCUCUAUCAGUAGGGAAGAAAAUGACGGUACCUGACUAAGAAGCCCCGGCUAACUACGUGCCAGCAGCCGCGGUAAUACGUAGGGGGCAAGCGUUAUCCGGAUUUACUGGGUGUAAAGGGAGCGUAGACGGCAGUGCAAGUCUGGAGUGAAAGGGGGGGGCCCAACCCCCUUCCCGCCAUUGAAACUGGCGCUCUUGAGUGGAAGAGAAGUAUGCGGAAUGCGUGGUGUAGCGGUGAAAUGCAUAGAUAUCACGCAGAACCCCGAUUGCGAAGGCAGCAUGCCGGCUUCCGACUGACGCUGAAGCACGAAAGCGUGGGGAUCGAACAGGAUUAGAUACCCUCGUA